GUUUGCAAUUAAUCCAUUGAUCUCAGUAGAAAACCCUAUUGUAUCAGGGCCCGCCAGGAGAAAGCUGCAUCCUGCCCCUCUCCCGCCCUGCACAGAAUGUUCAUUGAAGUCAACCCCCAAAUUGAUGGCAGGAUAUGGCCCUAAAAGCCUCCAAAUUAAAGGGGUCCAGAAAAUAAUGUUGGCUGAGCAGCGGAAGCUGGGGUGGGGGAGGCGGACGAGAAUGGGGGAAGGGGCUGGGUUUCCUCUGGAAUCCAUGGGUGCGAGCAGAGUGGCAGGGCGUAGAGUUCCUGGUUGCCCUUGACUCUCAGUUCUCCUUAGUUAGUUCCGCAGCUUCAGAACCAUAGCUAUGGAGUUUGCUGACCAGCUUUUUGUUGAUGCCGUUGCCACUGAUGAAACUGACGAUGAUACUCAGUGGGAUCUUCUGGGGAUGGAAGAAGAGGGACCCCUGGCUCCUCUUCUUCCUCUUGCCUUCUUCUCAAACAGGUCUUGGUGACGGUGAUGGAGAUGAUGAGCAUUGUCUCUUUUUGAGUGGGCCCCACCUGUCACAGGCUUUACACAUUCUUUUUCAUUUAACCCUUCAAACCCUGGAGGGGAGCAGGGCUGGUCAGUUAAAAUAAUCCAGGACACAGUAGCGCAGUCCAGGAGUCUUCAGGAGGCAUUAAGCAUCACUCAGUUUGCAAAGUAUCUAUUCCCCAGAGCUUCUUCAAGGUGAUGGUUGGAAGGAAGAGUUAGAUAAGCAGUGUGGACGGAGGAGGGAGCCCCAAAGUUGCCUAGACUGUCUUCCAUGAGGGUGGGUUAGAUGCUUGCUGGACUUUGUUUUGUUGAAUGGAGUAUACGGUGGGAUGCUGCCAUCCUUGGAUACCACACCUGCUUGUGAGUUUGUGCGCUGGUAACAUAUACCAUGCACGUUACAUGUACCGUCUGCAUGUGUAUGUGUGGGAGCCCUAUUAUGUAUAACAUCAUGUGGACAACUCUGCAUGUCAGACCUACCUUAGUCCCUGUUUUCAACUCUCCCCUCAUUCAAUAUGUUCUCUCUUCUAAAUACAAAGCCUUCAAAGAACACCUGUAAUAUCAGUUUGGUCCUGUUGGUGGGUAUUAUUUUCAUUUUACAAUUGAAGAAGUUGAGAUGUCCUGAGAUGGAAUGAUGUACUUAAGGACACAUGAUUAAGUAGUUGAUUCUGAUCCAAUAAGAGGGUAUGCUCUAGGAAAACCAAGAUACUUUUAGUCUUAUUCAGAGAUACAGCUCCAAUAUCUAUAAACCUAUAUGCUACCUGUAAUCUAAUGUGGUGCAUGGCAUGUUGACAGUGCUCAAAAAAUAUUUGUUGCUGUAUUUUGCUCCUUUCUAGGAUAUGUGUAGCCCUGAAUCUUCUCUCCCUGCAUGGCUGCUUUACUACAGUUUGUCAGGUCCUUAUAUUUUUCAGUAAUUCUUCCACAAGGAUCUUCUGGUAAAUCCCCCAUAAAGGGGGGAAGGAGUGAAGCGGCUUUCUUCAGACAAAUAACAAAGGUAUACCUCCUUUGAUCAGAAAGCAAGAGUUAAAACAUUCCUAAAGUUUCUCAUUUUGCCUUGGCUUUCAGGGAGUUCACAAUUAAAUAUGGUGCUCGAUUUCAUACUAUCGUCGAGUUAGAUUUUGGGUACAAUUUUUUUUCAUGCAUUCUGUGGUUUCACUUUCUCUCUCUCUGUAUAUGGUUUAAUUUUACAGGUGUCUUUUUGGAGGUAGAGAAGACAUAGUCUAAUAAUAAUAGUGUCCUUGUUGUCCGUAGGGCUUAUGGUGUUCAGCACCUCCUAUUUGUCCAAGACCUCUACUCUGAAGUCUUACCCAAGCCCAGACUUUGCUGUCAACGUCAUAGUUCAUCUACACCAGUACUUCUUUAUUGGGGUGGAGGUGGAGUGGUUUUGCCUUCAAGGGACAUUUGGCAAUGCCUGGAGGCAUCUUUGGUUGUCACUGGCAGGUAGUGGGAAGAGACCAGGGAUGCUACCUAACAUCCUGCAAAUGCAUAGAACAGCCUUCACAGCAAAGAAUUGACCAACCCCAAAUGUCAGUGGGGACUAGUGUUGAGAAACUCUGAUCUAUACAUGUCAACUGUCAUGGAGCAUCUCAUGGCAAGAACUUGAACUUCAUCCCUUUUUCUCUCUUCUUAGCUGAGAAUGCUCAAGGAAUGCCUUCAGCCAGCCUUACCAUAUGUUCUUUGCUGGGCAGGUUACCCACUCCCAUUCCCCCCACCCCCCAACGUCUGUCUUGUUUACCUACCACAGGAACCCAGGCAAAUGAGGACACACUCCCUCUUAUUCAUCUUCUCAUCUUUGAUUUUUGCACAGGUCCUAGAAUGGAGACUUUUCACUUAAGGUACACACUCAUAUCUUUGGCAUUGAGAGAAAAGAGGUAAUUUCAGAAUGAAAAAAAUUUUUUUUCUGAUUGUCUUGAAUUACACAGUUCCAAAGAGGGAGUUAAUAAAAACAUAGCUCCACAGAGUCUGUAUGUGGAUUGUUUUGGACAGAGGGUAGAUUUUUUUGCUGCAGUAGCAUCAUUGUGAUGACAGUAUCUCCACAUCCACCCUGUGUUCCCUGUGUCUCUGCCACCCUGUGUUCUCUUCAUUGACUGUCAGUAGCAUCAGUCCUUUGGGCCAAAGGACAAUUUUAUUGCCACAAUCUAGACUCUACUCCAUCCUGCUACCCUCACGAUCUCUCAGCUAAAUUUUUUUUUUCCCUCAUAUCAAGUUGCCUUGUCUAAAUUUCUGGAUAUCUGCCUCCCUUUCCCUGAUUAACACCUCAGGCUCUUCCUGGGGUAAAGCUCAGACUUGAACUCAGGCGUCAUGAGUUGGAACCCUACUGCCAAGUCUCUUUUCCUUGGAAUGGGCAGGGGGUGGGAAGAUGCUGGCUCCUGCUUUUCCUAAUCAUCCUCCAUUGAUAAAGUCCUUCCUGCUAUGAAGCACGAAUGGAAUGAUUUCCAGGGCCCACUUGACUUUGACCAUUACCUCUGGCUGUGUCCCAGUAGAGACAGGACCCCUUUGGUCCUGCUCUUGGGGGAGACGAGCUCAGGCUCAUGUAAUCAAUUAGAUACCAAUUCACUCAAUAGCACUUAAGAUUUGGGGCAAAAGUCCCGAUUGCCAAGUACUCUCGUUGGGCUCACAAGAGAUUAGAAAGUCCCAUCACUAGCUCACAAAGAGACCAAUUGGAAACAUACUGUGUUCUGCUUAAGCACUAUGAUUAAAGUGGUGGGAGGGCACUCAACUCAGCCUAGGGAAUGUGGUCAGGGAAGCUUUCUUGGAGGGGGGUGUGCAUGAGCCACGUGUUAAAGGGCUUCUGUUGGCUUAAACCAGCUCCUCUAACCAGACUGGUCUCCCCAGCAACUGUAUCACACUGGUUCUCUUCCUCCUCAUUUUCUCAGCAAUCACUCCCAACAACAUAUGUGUUACUAUACUUGUGGCAAUUCUCUUUUCCUAG
rnacentral:lncRNA from 1 species